rnacentral:rRNA from 1 species
UACAGAGGGUGCUAGCGUUGUUCGGAAUCAUUGGGCGUAAAGGGCGUGUAGGCGGUUUUGUUAAGUCAUGUGUGAAAUCCCUCGGCUCAACCGGGGAACGACGCAUGAAACUGGCAAGCUAGAGUACCAAAGAGGGUCGCGGAAUUCCCGGUGUAGAGGUGAAAUUCGUAGAUAUCGGGAGGAACACCGGUGGCGAAGGCGGCGACCUGGGUCGAGACUGACGCUGAGGCGCGAAAGCGUGGGGGAGCAAAACAGG